UUUUCUUAAAAUGGCCGGACGCUAUCGAAGUCAAAUCUGAAUGUGAGGCUUGAUAUGGCUGAAACUGAUCAAAGAAUAUAAAUUAGAGAUUUUAUCAUCCGAACAAAACUAAUGUACUCUGCAUAACCUUAUCUUGCACGAUACCUUAAAGAAAAAGAUAGAACAAGCUCAGAAGAAGGAUAAAGGAAUAAGAAUACUUCGAAAAUGAGUAAGUUAAAGGAAU
rnacentral:lncRNA from 1 species